AAAGUGAUAUUUAAAUAAAAACUGAAUGGAAAUGAGGAUGUGGUUCAAUUAAAUAAGGAAGUCCACAAAUUAGGAAGAUAAGAUCCCCAUAUUUGAUAACCAUGUCAGAGGAAAGCCUGACUCACCUGGGACCCAGCAGAUGGCAGAUUGUCUAACAUCUCUGUGUUCCUCUUUUCUGCAGGGACAGAGUCCUGAGCAAGGAAACCUAGAAGGGAAAGAGGAAUAACCAUGGAAUUGAGUCCUGUCUGGCAGCACUGACAGACACAGUGGCCAGCCACCCUCAUGCCACCCUGUCCUGCCAUGGGAAGGAACAGCAGCUCUAGAGUUCCUACGGGAACUCUCUUUCCUUCUCACUGAACUCUAGCUUCAUCAAUAACUCAGUGCCUCUGGCCAAGUUUUUAGCCUCUGGGACAACAUCCACUAUAUCUAUAUGAGGCACUCACUGUAACACCGUGAUUAAGAGUACAGAUGCUGGAGCCAGCAGCCUAAGUCUGAAUCCUGACUGCCAAUUAUUAUUAUAAGUUGUGGAACCACGGUCAAGUUACUCAACCUCUUUAUGCUUCUGGCUCCUGGUCUAUGAAACGAAGCUUUGGAUCUGCUGUUAUUAAGUUGCUGGUGCUGAAAUAACACUUAUUAUUUAUGGUCUAACUGAAAUGGCAAUACUGGAAACUUGUCUGAAGCUGAAGAAAAAAAUGAAAAAGAAGUUUUUACAAUCAAAACUACCAUGAAAACUGCUUUGCCCAAAAUUUUGGUCCACAGCUUUCACUGAAUUACUUAUCAGGGCAAACAAAGUUCAGCCAUGUGAACAGGUUCCAAUUUUGUUAGAAAUAAUUUGUGAGUUUGUAUUGCUAUCUCAUGGCUAAAAUUCUGAGGUAAAAGCUUUUGGAUGUUUGUGUGUCGUGUGCGCAUGUGACAAAAACAAGCAAUGGGGAAAGGAGUCCCUAUUUAAUAAAUGGUGUUGGGAGAACUGGCUAGUCAUAUGAAGAAAGUUGAAACUAGAGCCCCUCCUUAUACUAUAUACAAAAAUCAACUCAAGGUGGAUUAAAGACUUAAAUGUAAAAACCCAAACUAUAAAAACCCUAGAAGAAAAUCUAGGCAAUACCAUUCAGGACAUGGGUACAAGCAAAGAUUUCAUGACAAAGAUGCCAAAAGCAGUAGCAACAAAAGCAAAAAUUGACAAAUGGAAUCUAAUUAAACUAAAGAGCUUCUGUACAGCAAAAGAAACUAUCAUUAGAGUGAACAGACAACCUACAGCAUGGGAGAAAAAUUUUUGCAAUAUAUCCAUCUGCCAAAGGUCUAAUAUCCAGUGUCUACAAGGAACUUAAACAAAUUUACAGGAAAAAAACAAACAACGCCAUUAAAAAGUGGGCAAAGGACACGGACAGACACUUCUCAAAAGAAGACAUUUAUGUAGGCAACGAACAUUUUUUAAAACAAAAGCUCAACACCACUGAUCAUUAGAGAAAUGCACAUGAAAACCACAAUGAGACAGCAUCUCACACCAGUCAGAAUAGCUAUUACUUAAGGGUCAUAAAACAACCGAUGAUAGCAAGGUUGUGAAGAAAAAUGAACACUUUUAUACUGUUGGUUGGAGUGUAAAUUAGUUCUACCAUUUUGGAAGACAGUGUGGUGAUUCCUCAAAGACCUAGGGGAAGAAAUACCAUCUGACCCAGCACUCUCAUUACUAGGUAUAUACCCAGAGGAAUAUAAAUCAUUCUAUUAUAAAGAUACACGUGCAUGUUCAUUGCAAAAUAGCAAAACCAUGGAAUCAACCUAAAUGCCCAUCAAUGACAGACUUGAUAAAGCAAAUGUGGUACGUAUACACCAAGGAAUAACAUGCAGCCAUAAAAAGGAUCAAGAUCAUGUCUUUUGCAGGGACCUGGAUGGAACCAGAAGCCAUUAUCCUCAGCAAAUUAAUGCAGGAACAGAAAAGCAAAUACCACAUGUUCUCACUUAUAAGUGGGAGCUGAAUGAUGAGAACACACGGACACAUGGUGGGGAACAAUACACACUGAGGCCUGUUGCAGGGUGUGGAGUGAGAGGGAGAGCAUUGGGAAGAAUAGCUAAUGCCUGCUGGGCUUAAUACCUACGGGAUGGAAUGAUCUGUGCAGCAAACCACUAUGGCACACAUCUAUGUAACAAACCUACACAUCCUGACAUGUAACCCUGACUUUAAAAUAAAAGUUGGAAAUAAAAAAAAACCCCUAAACAUAUACCUAC